rnacentral:rRNA from 1 species
GACGAACGCUGGCGGCGUGCUUAACACAUGCAAGUCGAACGGAAAGAUCCUGCUUUUGUGGGGUGCUCGAGUGGCGCACGGGGGUGUAACACGUGAGUAUCCUGCCCUUGUCUUUGGGAUAACUUCUGGAAACUGGGGCUCAUACCGGAUAGGAGCUCCUGCUGCAUGUUGGGGGUUGGAAAAUUUCGGCUGUUGGGGAUGGAAUCGCGGCUUAUCAGCUUGUUGGUGGGGUAGUGGCUUACCAAGGCUUUGACGGGUAGCCGGCCUGAGAGGGUUGACGGCCACAUUGGGACUGAGAGACGGACCAGAAGGCUACGGGAGGCAGCAGUGGGGAAUAUUGCACAAUGGGCGGAAGCCUGAUGCAGCAACGCCGCGUGCGGGAUGACGGCCUUCGGGUUGUAAACCGCUUUGGCCUGUGACGAAGCGUGAGUGACGGUAAUGGGUAAAGAAGCACCGGCUAACUACGUG